rnacentral:rRNA from 1 species
GACGAACGCUGGCGGCGUGCUUAACACAUGCAAGUCGAACGAAGAGCGAUGGAAGCUUGCUUCUAUCAAUCUUAGUGGCGCACGGGUGAGUAACGCGUAAUCAACCUGCCCUUCAGAGGGGGACAACAGUUGGAAACGACUGCUAAUACCGCAUACGAUCUAAUCUCGGCAUCGAGGAUAGAUGAAAGGUGGCCCCUACAUGUAAGCUAUCACUGAAGGAGGGGAUUGCGUCUGAUUAGCUAGUUGGAGGGGUAACGGCCCACCAAGGCGAUGAUCAGUAGCCGGUCUGAGAGGAUGAACGGCCACAUUGGGACUGAGACACGGCCCAGACUCCUACGGGAGGCAGCAGUGGGGAAUCUUCCGCAAUGGACGAAAGUCUGACGGAGCAACGCCGCGUGAGUGAUGACGGCCUUCGGGUUGUAAAGCUCUGUUAAUCGGGACGAAAGGCCUUCUUGCGAAUAGUGAGAAGGAUUGACGGUACCGGAAGAGAAAGCCACGGCUAACUACGUG